ACGAACGCUGGCGGCAUGCCUCACACCUGCCAGUCGAACGAGACCUUCGGGUCUAGUGGCGCACGGGUGCGUAACGCGUGGGAACCUGCCCUUAGGUUCGGAAUAACUCCCCGAAAGGGGUGCUAAUACCGGAUAAUGUCUUCGGACCAAAGAUUUAUCGCCUUUGGAUGGGCCCGCGUUGGAUUAGCUAGUUGGUAGGGUAAAAGCCUACCAAGGCGACGAUCCAUAGCUGGUCUGAGAGGAUGAUCAGCCACACUGGGACUGAGACACGGCCCAGACUCCUACGGGAGGCAGCAGUGGGGAAUAUUGGACAAUGGGCGAAAGCCUGAUCCAGCAAUGCCGCGUGAGUGAUGAAGGCCUUAGGGUUGUAAAGCUCUUUUACCCGGGAUGAUAAUGACAGUACCGGGAGAAUAAGCUCCGGCUAACUCCGUG
rnacentral:rRNA from 1 species